rnacentral:lncRNA from 11 species
UAAGGAAUCAAACCAGUAGCAGAGCACCUCUGUAGGAGAGUUUAUGUAGGAGAGUUUAUGUUUCUCUAUCACUUCCAGGAAUUUUCCUACAUAUUCAAAGCCUGGAGACCAUGGCUGUAUUUUCUCUCCCUGGAUUCCUCUGCCACUUUCAAAAUCCUUCUUUUGUCCUGCAGUAUGAAAUGGAAGCAAGUAAACUUACGCACUCAAAUUCCAUAAACCUAUUUAAUGCAUGGAGCCAGCAAGGCACUCCCAAAGGGACUGGAGAUUGACUGAAGAUUUAACAUCCCCUGCUAUCUUCUAUUUUUAACAGCAGACUAUGCUUAAAGGAGAAGGAGGCUGGCAGGCAAAGCAGCAGGUCUCAUGGUCUUAGCUUUUAGUACCCCAAGGAGCACUCUGUAAUGCUGAACUAUCAAUUCACCAUUGUAGACAAACCAGCUCAACAACCGAAGAAGACAAAAAUGAUGACUAUACACUUUGGCACAAUUGUAUAUGCUAUCUAAAUACAUUUAAAGCUGUAAUAAAUCCUCCACCUGCUUCUGGUAACUUUUAGGUUUGGGUUAGAAGUAGAUUAUCCUGUUGUUAG